rnacentral:misc_RNA from 1 species
AUUCCUCAGACUUUGGUUUCGUUCAAGGAAGAGAGUAACAAAGUGGCUGAUCUCUCUGAUGUUGAGCGGAAAGCUUUGGAAGAACUGAAGCAGUUGGUUCAGGAAGCUCUCAAUAGCCACCAAUUUAGCUCUCCACCACCACCACCAACAACAAAAGAAGAAGAGAAACAGAGUGUUACUCCACCAGGACAAAAUAGUCAAGAAAUUCCAGCUGUGUCCUCUGGACCGACCUCAGAUGCUCCUGCAAAAGCUGAAGCACCCUUGUCAGAAUCCGAUGUCAGUACAGAGAAACCACCACC